UUCCACAUGAAAAAUGUUAGAAUUAGCUGUAUAUGUGAAAACUAAAUUAGUGUAACAGUAGACUUUUAGUUUUGCCUUAACAAUUCAAAAAAAACAAACAAACGACACUGAUUUUAUAAGGAAAAAAAAAAAGAGUGGUCCAAUUCAUGUAGGAUUUGGCUGCUCCUCGUUCUUCGUCGUCUCUAAUUGCUAGUUUUGCAUGGACG
rnacentral:lncRNA from 1 species